rnacentral:sRNA from 12 species
GGUCUUUGACAUAUUUGAUACAGGCGACAAUAAUAGACAACUCACGCAGGUGCAAUGCCUGCAUAGUGAUUAACAAUAUAGCUUGCAAGGUCAGACUUAGCGUGCUGACCGCUGAACGGCUCACGACCGCCCCCCCGACCCUCGCAAAGGUCUUGCAAGCAC